rnacentral:rRNA from 1 species
UACGAAGGGGGCUAGCGUUGCUCGGAAUUACUGGGCGUAAAGGGCGCGUAGGCGGUUCUAUAAGUCAGGCGUGAAAUUCCUGGGCUUAACCUGGGGGCUGCGCUUGAGACUGUGGGACUUGAGGUCAGAAGAGGGUCGUGGAAUUCCCAGUGUAGAGGUGAAAUUCGUAGAUAUUGGGAAGAACACCGGUGGCGAAGGCGGCGACCUGGUCUGAUACUGACGCUGAGGCGCGAAAGCGUGGGGAGCAAACAGG